AAGUAUUAUCUGUACACUCUUAUUCUUAUUAGGAAGUGGAUCUUACAUCUAUGAAUUGGAAUUAGGCUACUAUACUAUCUACAGUACCGAGCUCCGGUACUAUAGUGUUUGUUUUCGAUCUUAGGGCGUUCAAAUCAACGAUCCACACCGUUAAAUAUGAUCUAGGGUAUAUGAAUGUCUUAGGAAUAAAAUUUUAGUUUUUUUCGAUAUCGUUUACUUAGUAAAUAAAUUAUAUCAAAAUAGACGGUAAAAAUUGAAUAAUCUUUAAAAUUUGAGUAUAGGACUUUUAAAUUCAAGAUCAAGAAUGUUAACCUUAAUCUAUAUAGUUUAAAGUAUUUUCUAUCAAAAUUUGAAGAAAUUUAGAUUCUUCUACACCGUUAAAUUCCAAACUUGUCAUAAUAGCCAUUGAAAAUUGACAAUUUUAAAAUAGUUUGAUCAUAAAGUAAACUAUGUCGAAAAAAUAUAAAAUUUUAUUUCUAG
rnacentral:lncRNA from 1 species